rnacentral:rRNA from 1 species
GACGAACGCUGGCGGCGCGCUUAACACAUGCAAGUCGAACGGAAAGUCCUGCUUUCCCUUGUGGAUUGCGGGUACUCGAGUGGCGAACGGGUGAGUAACACGUGAGUGAUCUGCCCCCAACUUGGGUAUAAGCCUGGGAAACUGGGUCUAAUUCCCGAUAGGACUGCAGGGUGGUGCCUGUGGUGGAAAACGAUUUUCUAGUGGUUGGGGAUGAGCUCGCGGCCUAUCAGCUUGUUGGUGGGGUAAUGGCCUACCAAGGCGGCGACGGGUAGCCGGCCUGAGAGGGUGGACGGCCACAUUGGGACUGAGAUACGGCCCAGACUCCUACGGGAGGCAGCAGUGGGGAAUAUUGCACAAUGGGCGGAAGCCUGAUGCAGCGACGCCGCGUGGGGGAUGACGGCCUUCGGGUUGUAAACUCCUUUCGACCGCGAGGAAGCCACCUGGUUGGAAGGGUGGUGACGGUAGUGGUAGAAGAAGCACCGGCUAACUACGUG